AUGGAACGCUGGCGGCAGGCCUAACACAUGCAAGUCGAGCGGAUGAAGGGAGCUUGCUCCUGGAUUCAGCGGCGGACGGGUGAGUAAUGCCUAGGAAUCUGCCUGGUAGUGGGGGAUAACGUCCGGAAACGGGCGCUAAUACCGCAUACGUCCUGAGGGAGAAAGUGGGGGAUCUUCGGACCUCACGCUAUCAGAUGAGCCUAGGUCGGAUUAGCUAGUUGGUGGGGUAAAGGCCUACCAAGGCGACGAUCCGUAACUGGUCUGAGAGGAUGAUCAGUCACACUGGAACUGAGACACGGUCCAGACUCCUACGGGAGGCAGCAGUGGGGAAUAUUGGACAAUGGGCGAAAGCCUGAUCCAGCCAUGCCGCGUGUGUGAAGAAGGUCUUCGGAUUGUAAAGCACUUUAAGUUGGGAGGAAGGGCAGUAAGUUAAUACCUUGCUGUUUUGACGUUACCAACAGAAUAAGCACCGGCUAACUUCGUG
rnacentral:rRNA from 1 species